rnacentral:rRNA from 1 species
GGAGGGUGCGAGCGUUGUUCGGAUUUACUGGGCGUAAAGGGCNNGUAGGCGGCCUUCUAAGUCAGACGUGAAAGCAAGGCUCAACCUUGGAAUGCGAUUCGAAACUGGGAAGCUUGAGUAUCGGAGGGGAAAGUGGAAUUCCCGGUGUAGAGGUGAAAUUCGUAGAUAUCGGGAGGAAUACCGGUGGCGAAGGCGACUUUCUGGACAGAUACUGACGCUCAGGUGCGAAAGCGUGGGGAGCAAACAGGAUUAGAUACCCUGGUAGUCCACGCUGUAAACGAUGUCGAUUUGGAGGUUGUGGGCUUGACCCGUGGCUUCCGGASUAACGCGUUAAAUCGACCGCCU